UACAGAGGUCCCAAGCGUUGUUCGGAUUCACUGGGCGUAAAGGGUGCGUAGGUGGUAAGGCAAGUCUGAUGUGAAAUCUCCAAGCUCAACUUGGAAAUGGCAUUGGAAACUGCUUUACUUGAGAUUUGGAGGGGGGACUGGAAUUCUCGGUGUAGCAGUGAAAUGCGUAGAUAUCGAGAGGAACACCAGUGGCGAAGGCGAGUCCCUGGACAACAUCUGACACUGAGGCACGAAAGCUAGGGGAGCAAACAGG
rnacentral:rRNA from 1 species